rnacentral:tRNA from 1 species
GGGGGUGUAGCUCAGUUGGUUUAGAGCGCUGGCCUGUCACGCCAGAGGUCGCGGGUUCGAGUCCCGUCACUCCCGCCA